GACAGAGGUGGCGAGCGUUGUUCGGUGUCACUGGGCUUAGAGCGUGUGUAGGCGGGAAAGUAAGCGCCUUGUGAAAUCCCCCGGCUUAACCGGGGAAUUGCUUGGCGAACUGCUUUUCUUGAGGCAAGUAAGGGGGCGAGGAACUCUUGGUGGAGCGGUGGAAUGCGUAGAUAUCAAGAGGAACGCCGGUGGUGAAGACGUCGCACUAGGCUUGUCCUGACGCUGAGACACGAAAGCGUGGGGAGCAAACGGG
rnacentral:rRNA from 1 species